rnacentral:rRNA from 1 species
UACGUAGGGACCGAGCGUUGUCCGGAAUCAUUGGGCGUAAAGAGCGUGUAGGCGGCUUGUUAAGUCUUGCGUGAAAUCUCGGGGCUCAACCCCGAGCGGUCGUGAGAAACUGGAUGGCUAGAGUCCUGGAGAGGAAGGUGGAAUGCUUGGUGUAGAGGUGAAAUUCGUAGAUAUCAAGCGGAACAGCGGUGGCGAAGGCGGCCUUCUGGACAGUGACUGACGCUGAGACGCGAAAGCGUGGGGAGCAAACAGG